UCGACCUCGGAUCAGGUAAGACUACCCGCUGAACUUAAGCAUAUCAAUAAGCGGAGGAA
rnacentral:rRNA from 1 species